UCAGCAAUGGGCAAGCACUGACAAACCAUUUCCCACACGAGAGGUUCUAUUGGUAGAGCAAAGAGUGAAACACGUUUCGGAGCUGCAAGCGAACCAAAGGCUGAUAAAAGGUUUAACGCAAAAUGGAGACCCAAGUGUUGAUCUGUUUCUUUGUCGUGCUCUACCUGGCGACUGUCUCGGUCGCAGCUCCUGUGGACGAAUCUCAAAGCGUGCAGGACAAAAGUAACGAGGCAAUGGUAAGAGCCAAACGUGGAUCAUGUUUUUGGAGUUGCGGUUCCUAUGGUACCUUCUUGACCUGCCCAGGUGGGUUCGUCGUCCGGGGAGCUUGUGGCUCUGGGAAAAAUGCGGAUUGUUCUCGUACCCACUGCGGCCGAGGCACCUACCACGCCAUCUAUUGUUGUAAUUAGUAAUUUCGACAGCCAGAAAUGCGAGCAAUAGCCGAAGUGCACAGAACAUUGCGCAAGAAUGCUUUCAUUAACCAUGCAAAAUUUUCAAAUGGUUUGAUCCAUUUUGAUGCAUUAAUUAUAAGAUAUAAACUUACCUGAAAACUGUUUAUCUUUGAUGUUUUGGCCGGCUUUCACUUUUCACUUCUCAAAUGGAAAAAAUAAAAUUAUUGAGCUUCUGAAAA